AAAAAUAUCAAUGCGCGAUUGAAUCACGUGACAGGUCACUGAGGUCAGCCAUGCUUCUUCCACAGCUUGAUUCGACUUUCGUUAUUUGAUACAGACAUCCAGGAUAUUUUGAAGAAAUUGUGUGUGAUAUAAUAAACUGUUGUGUGAGGUUUUAAAUGUGACAUGGUCAAGAAUACUAUGAUAGUAUUGUUCAGUGUGACUUCUGUCAUGUUACUGUUUGAUAACAGUGAAGGUACAGUACAUGUAGGUUCAGACAAGUUAUAUACAUGUAUACAGGACAAGAUAGCUCAAACUGGUAGUUUGUUAUAGCAAAAAGUGAUGAAGUUUCAGCCAUGAAGUCUUCAUCGUGAUGAUGAUCAUCAUGAUCCUAUUUAUAGAUUCUUUGCAAUUAUCUGUAAGGAAGAGGUUUCUGCUGCAGAGAAAGAAAAAAAUUCAUACAGUAAGAAGUUGCCCACUCUGUUCAAAUGAAGCUGUCUGAAGUACCAAGUAGAACAAUGUAUUAUUUCUGGAACAACUUAAUUGAAGUGAAGCUUACUAUGUGAAGGAGUUAUUUCUGUAUUCAAAAGGAAACUUCAGCAUACAGAAUACCAAUUUAGAUAUUUGUAGCUUCAGUUAUGGGAGUACACAAGAUUAAUUGAACUGGAAUCCCUUCAGACGUUGACAUAGCUAAAUUUCGCAGUUUCAACUAUAAAUGGACAUUAAAUUAAUAUACAUUGGUUUUAU